rnacentral:rRNA from 1 species
UGAGGAAUAUUGGUCAAUGGGCGAGAGCCUGAACCAGCCAAGUAGCGUGCAGGAUGACGGCCCUAUGGGUUGUAAACUGCUUUUAUAUGGGAAUAAAGUGAGGGACGUGUCCCUUAUUGCAUGUACCAUAUGAAUAAGGACCGGCUAAUUCCGUGCCAGCAGCCGCGGUAAUACGGAAGGUCCAGGCGUUAUCCGGAUUUAUUGGGUUUAAAGGGAGCGUAGGCUGUUUGUUAAGCGUGUUGUGAAAUGUAAGAGCUCAACUUUUAGAUUGCAGCGCGAACUGGUCGACUUGAGUAUGCAGGAAGUAGGCGGAAUUCAUGGUGUAGCGGUGAAAUGCUUAGAUAUCAUGACGAACUCCGAUUGCGCAGGCAGCUUACUGUAGCAUAACUGACGCUGAGGCUCGAAGGUGCGGGUAUCGAACAGG